CCUGGGUUUCCGAAAAUGGGGCGUGGCCCACAUGUAGCAGAGGUGCAGAGAAAUACAGCCCCCAGCUUGGCUGGGACAGGAUGGGCGUGGUCAUGGCCCAUUGCAAGCGGCAGGUGAAGUGCCUGGGCGAGGUCUGGGCAAAGGGAAGUGGACGGCCCAGGUGAAGAGAAGCGAGGCAGAAAUUAGGGAGGGGGCGUGGCCGAUUUAGAGAAGCAAUCAGAGUGAAUAGGGCGUAGCUGUGGGGACAGGCGUGACAUGGAAGAGCAUAGGGGCCAGUCAGGGAGGAGACCUUGGAGGGAGAGAAAUGGAGGGUGCCUGAGGGGGAUGUGCUAAAGCCAAAGCACAUUUGCCCCCUCCCAGCGGGUAGGGGAGUGGUGGAGGCGGAGCACAGAGGUGUGGCCUGUCAGAGAAGGCGUUGUUACGACAGCACAGAGAGUACGGCCCUAGGAGCAGGACCCUGCACACAGCUGAGCUCAGAGGCUCCAGUCUGGCCACGAGAAUGCAAUGGGAGGUAUUCUUCAUUGAUCUUACUCGAAGUUGAGAACAUGUAUUUUGACUCUGAGAAAUUGUGGGAGUGUUUUAAUAAUUUCACAUACGUGCAUGUUGAGUGGAGGGGGCACUGGAGAAUCAUUGAAGGCUUUCUGGGGGAGGCCACCACUAACCUGAGUCCUGAGCCAUGUGUGAGAGUUAGCCAGGUGAAGAAUGGUGGGCAGACCUUUCCAGGCAUUGAGAAGAACAUGGAACACAGGAAGAAACAACAUGAAGACAUGGUAUGUGGGGGAAACAUACCCCCACCGUUUGUGGAGACUGGGGUAAAAGUGCAAAUGGAGGUAGCAUAUCUUACAUCUAAAUAGUUAGACACUAUAAAUCAAGCUAACCACCUGCUAUGUAAAACAAGGUUUAUGCUCCUACCUUGACAAAUAUAUCUUCAUAACAUCUUGGAAGGCUGGGUUCUAAUUUGGAAUUUUAGAAUUUAUUGGAAUUCCAGGCUAGAAAUAUGAUGGUAAGGAAAGACAGCCCUUAACCGAUGGUCUACUGCUAUGGGCUGAAAGUUUGAGUCCCUCCAAAAUUCACAUGCAGAAACUCUAAUCCUCAGUAUAAUGAUAUCUGGGAUGGGGUCUCUGGGAGGUAAGUGGGUCAUGAGGGUGGAACCCUCAUGAUGGGAUUAACACCCUUGUUUUAGUUUUCUGCCCACCUCCCCGACCCACAACACCAUGUGAGGAAACCAGGAAGAAAGUUCUCACCAGACACCGGAUCUGCUGGCACCUUGAUCUUUGUCUUAGCAGCGUUCAGAACUGUUAGAAAUAAAUUUCUGUGAUUUAAGUCACCCGGUCUGUGGUAUUUUGUGAUAGGACCCCCUAAACAGACUGACAUCCAUCUUCCUGUUUUCUUACCCCUGGUUCCACAGCCCACCUCCUCCUUUUUGGCAACACUGCUAACAUUUGCCUCUUGGCCAGCCUACCUCACACUUGCCCAGAGGCAUGUGCUAUCCUUCAGAGCAUAAAUUCAGAAAAUUAACCCAUGCCAGCUUUGGAAAGGGUUUUGGGUCCUUUGUCCAGGGAAGUCGGGAUACCAAACAUCUGAGGCAUGGUCCACAAGAAGGAAACUUGGGCUACAGGUGAUUUCUGCUCAGCUACCUAGAUUCCUCACCUGUGGGAAGACCAGGCAGCACCAGAGCUGAGGCCUCUGAAGAUCUAAGCUCAGCACAGAUACCCUGCACGCCUGGGUCUAGGAGUGGUACUGAAGGGAAGUUACAAUUCUCCAUAUAGGCACAUAAAGAGGAAGGCAGAGAGAGUGCUAUAAAAGGCUGGAGGGGGAGAUAGGAUCUGUCAUGGAUGUCUUUGCGUUAAAGUGGGGCUGAACUGGAAUCCUUUGCUUAUGUGGAAACACUGAAAGACUGUGUGCAAAGAAAUGUCAUGAUUACAUACUUUUUAAAGUAAAUAAUCGGCUACGGUUUGGAGAACAGAUUGAGAGUCAAAAGUCAAAACAAAACAGGGGUACAGUUUGGGAUGGUCCAGAUGAUAGAUGAAGUAGAAUUCUGGGGAGAUGAGAAGAUGGGGUCAGUCCAUGCUUUGGAGGUAAAAUGGAUUGGAACUGCAGAGUGGAGGUGCCAGUAGGAAAUUGUGAAGGAUGGAAGACUACAGGAUUUGGGUUACUGGCUUUGUAUCAGUUUUUUAAAUUGCUGUCAUAAGAAAUUACCACAAAUUUAGCAGCUUAAAACAAUACCUAUGUAUUAUCUCACAGCGUGUCUCAUCUAGAUUCCCUGCUUAGAAUCUCAGAAGGUUAAAAUCAAGGUGUCAAUGGGGCUCCAUUCCCUUCUGGAAGAUUUGUGAAUGCAUCCGCUUCUAAGUGCACACAGGCUGUGGGUUAAAGUCAAUUCUUUGAGGCUGCAGCACUGAGGUUCCCAUUUCCUUACUAGCUGUCAGCCAGGGCGAGUCUUUACUCCUAGAUGCUACACACGUUUCUUCUCAAGCGUUCCAUCUGGACCCCUUCCAGUGACAGCAGGUUGAAUUCCUCUCAUGCUUUGAUUCUCUCCAGCUCCCCUUUCUGUGGCAUUUCUCUGCUGCAUCUCUCUUCUGC
rnacentral:lncRNA from 10 species